AAUAGAUACCCCGGGUAGUCCACGCCGUAAACGAUGAAUGUUAGCCGUCGGGCAGUUUACUGUUCGGUGGCGCAGCUAACGCAUUAAACAUUCCGCCUGGGGAGUACGGUCGCAAGAUUAAAACUCAAAGGAAUUGACGGGGGGCCCGCACAGGCGGUGGAGCAUGUGGUUUAAUUCGAAGCAACGCGCAGAACCUUACCAGCCCUUGACAUCCCGAUCGCGGAUUACGGAGACGUUUUCCUUCAGUUCGGCUGGAUCGGAGACAGGUGCUGCAUGGCUGUCGUCAGCUCGUGUCGUGAGAUGUUGGGUUAAGUCCCGCAACGAGCGCAACCCUCGCCCUUAGUUGCCAGCAUUUAGUUGGGCACUCUAAGGGGACUGCCGGUGAUAAGCCGAGAGGAAGGUGGGGAUGACGUCAAGUCCUCAUGGCCCUUACGGGGCUGGGCUACACACGUGCUACAAUGGUGGUGACAGUGGGCAGCGAGACCGCGAGGUCGAGCUAAUCUCCAAAAGCCAUCUCAGUUCGGAUUGCACU
rnacentral:rRNA from 1 species